ensembl:lncRNA
GGGAGAAUCCAGUUCCAUACUGGGAUAAAACCAAGCCCGUUACCUUUAUUUUAUGUUUUUUAAAAAGUUGCCAUAGAGAGAAAGGAGGGAGGAGGAAGAUCAAGGUAUCAAGAAUAAAGACUUGAACCCGAAUCUUCCUUGUUCAGGAUGAGUGCCAAGGUCCACUGUAUUAUUGGCUUUUCUGGCAUAUCUUUUUCUAUAAACCUUUUGAAGCAGUUUCAUUUUCUUUAAAGAAAUGCUUACUGGAGAAGGUGGUUUAUACGCCAUUGAAUCCAGUGUCCAUAGUAAAUGGACAUUCUGUGACAACAGGACUGUGGGACCAUUUCACAUCAAGGCUCAGCGAGUUUUAGCCGCUUCCAAGGGCAGAAGUGCUGCAGAAGGAGGAAAAGAGAACAGCCCAAAAGCUUAUUAAUUGUGUAGAAGUACUCUGCAAACAAGAGGUGAGUUCAUAACCGAAUAACAUUCCUCCAGUGAUCUAUGAGUUUGUAUCCUUCUUCCAACAAGAACUUCUUGGUUGCCUGUGGAGAGGCAGAAGGGAACCUUCUCUUCUAUGUACCUUCCACUGCUGGAGGAGUUCAGGCACAAACACAUCAAGGCUCUGUUUAAGCACAGUCCUUUUACAUGACUCAUGGUCCCAUUUAAGAUGCUCAGGGAAACACAGGUAGAGCUGCUGCUCAUCAAAUGGUUGUGGGAGACUGACGUUGAAGUCAGGUAUUUCCUUACUGUUUAAGCUCAUGAGCAAGUUUCAGUUGAGUUACUGGGACUUCUAAGCUCAGAUCGUCUGGAUAGCAGUCCAGGUGCCACACAGAUGGUCCUGUUCCCUUCAGCUGCCUUCUGGACAUCACUGCCUCUCUGGUGGAACAGCAGAACAGAUGUUAACUACAGCAGUUGCUCUCAGUAAAUGGCUCACUUUCUGUAGUGGCUCAUCUACCUUCUGGCUGAGCAGAAGAACAAUCUGAUAUCAAUUGUAAUGCCAUCCUCAAAGCCAUCCUUCAAAUGUGUGCAGUGGGAGAAGUGAAGGGUAUGCAACAGACAGGCUCUCAUUUCUCAGCUGCUUUUUGUCUUCACUCACUGCUCCUUCCUCGUCAGUCAGCCACUUGCUGCCCUCAUCUCACACAGAAACCCCAGGAAAACCUUCCCAUGCAUUCCCUAGCAGGGGAUGCUCUCGUAGUCCAAACAUGAAUGUUGCCAGAGCCACAACCUGUUCCUUGUUCAGCUCAGCACAGCGCAUCUAAGCAGAUGGGGACAGGACAGCACUCCAGCUCCUUCACACUGAGGCAGAGCUUUUCUGAAGGACUCGAGUCCGCAUUUGCACGCCUCAUUUUCUCAUUGUUCAACUUUGCUCCAUGACUUGUUUGUACAACAAAGGUAAGCAUGAAAUAGGCCUUGCUCCAGAGGAGGGUGUUUCUAAGGUAUUGCUUAUAUACAUAUGAAUAAACACAGUAUUUUAAUUUUCUGUAGACUAGCAUUAUGUUCAUUAUUGCAGUAAAAACUUAUGCAGAAUGUAAACUCUCAGAUGUGAUAAAACAGUAUCACCCUUUGAAGACUAGUUUCACAUUGAAUACACUGUAUUUUUAAAAGCUGUUAAAUUACGUGUCAGUUGUAAACAUUCUUUGACUAUCCUGCAGCUAAAACAAGAUGGAAGUUUACAUUUAAAAUAAGGAACAAAUCCCUGAAUAUUUCACCCUCAACCUUGUAAGCAGCUCCAUGGUGCCAGGAUGCAUUACCUUCACCUGGAAUCCACCAGAUCACAGUAAUCCAUAUAUCAUAGAACCAUGGAAUGGUUUGGGUUGGAAGGGACCUUUAGGAUCAUCUAGUUCCACUCCCCUUCAAUAGGCAGGGACACCUCCCCCUAGACCAGGUCGCUCACAGCCCCAUCCAGCCUGGCCUUGAAUGCUUCCAGGGAGGGGGCAUUCACAACCUCUCUGGACAACCUGUUUCACUGUCUCACCACGUUCACAGUAAAGAAUUUCUUCCUAAUAUCUAGUCUAAAUCUACAUUUUUCCAGUUUAAAACCACUUCCCCUCAUCCUGUCACUACAUGCCCUUACAAAAAGUCCCUCCCCAGUGCAUAUAUGUGUAUUGAUAAAAGAUAUACCCACAAAAAAUCCUAUUAAAAAGUUAUAGAAGAAGGAUUCAGCCACACCCUUUCUUUCCCAAAUCAGAAUAUUACUCUUUUAUUGCAGCAAGACCACUCUAGUAUGUCAGUGGAAAUUUUCAUGAAUUGAUAUAUUUGAUGAAGGUCCUCUUCAUCAAAUGGAUCCUCUCCUCAGUGUAGGACUUCAAUUUUGUUCAGUGCAUACUGCAAUCAUCCCAUUAUGAAAAAAAGAUUCUUGAAAAUGUGAAUGAAAUGAAGCUGAUGCAGUGUUGGUGUUGUGAGUAUGCCUGUACUUAACCUCAAAGUAGCAUUAUUUACUGCUUUCCUGCUGAAAAACUGGAUAAAAGUUGAUGUAACUCAUACAUCAAUUACAUUUCAGUGCCACUUAGACUAUCAAAAUCACUGAGUCAGUGAGACAACUCACAUGAAAAUAUCUUUUGCUAGAUGGUUAGGGUUACAUGACAAACUUAUCAUUUUCAAAACUUUAAAUUGGAUUUCAUGUCAUAUUUAUUGUGAACUGCCAAUGAAGUCAGAAAAAUACCUGUUUAAAAAAAACCCAUACUUCUACGCUCUCCAAUAGACAGACAACCAUAGAUUGCAAACUACUGGUCUUCAUCUAAUCUACCCAGAAUUUAGAUGACCUAGAGGUGAUGAGAAUUGUUUGGUAAUGUUUUAAAAUGUUUUGGGAAAUAUUUGUAAAAUUAUUUGAGUUCCUAAGAGAGAAAAGUGUCACUACUGUCCAAACUGUUGCCGUUAUGUAUAGAUACUAAUUGCAGUGUGUUUCACAAACAGGUGAAACUCAACUGUAUUGGUUAAAGUAACAUUCACAAACGAGAGAUACAAAAAUGUAGAUAGAGCUAUCCAAAUAUGUUGUGCAAAGCCAAAAGAAUGUAAGAAAAAAAUAAUUAUAAGGAAUAAAGCAGUGAUUAAAAUGAUCGAAAUGUAUGAAUAUGAAUAUUGAAGUAUAGACCAAGAGUGACACAUGCAAAGCUGGGUGAAUAAGCCAUGGAGACUGUCUCUACUUCUCUUUCCUCCCAUGGUACUCUCCAAGAUGAUGAAGUGUGGAUUUGUUUCUCUCCACAGUUCCUUUACCCCCAGUAGUGUCUCCCAUCACUUCAGCUUCACCACAGCACUUCUGCAUGAUCUGGGACUUUCCUUUUGUUGUAUUUCUUUUGGGAGGACAGUCUGUGCAACCUGCUAAGGGAUAUGUAUGUGCUUAUUGUGGUUUCCCAGACCAGCUGCGGGCCACUGACUGUAACCGCAAACCAGCAGCAGUAUGAGAUGAGACCCUAGGGAAGUGUGGACAAACCAAACAAGUGGUGGCUACCCAAUCCUGGACAGACAGGAGGGGCAUGUAGCUGGGCUGAGCGGUCCUGUUAUGAAAUUUUUCCUGCUUUCCUUACAAACUGGCCAGGGAAGCCUUUCCCUCAUUUAGACAGAGAAUUGUGUGUUCUGCACAGACACUUCAUGAAAAAGUCCCUUGGGUAGGUUAGAUAAGAGUACAACCUCCUGGACAUGGUAAUGUAUGAAAGGCACUUCAACUUCUCCACUCAUUUAACAUUUAACUUGGCAAAAAAGAUGUGUUGCUUUAUCAAGAAAUGACAGGCAGAGCCCAUGACUAUUAAGGAAGGAGUGAUGCUGAGACAGACAAUUACGACUUGGGUAAGUGUUGGCUGCCCCAAACCCCCUGAGAUCUAUUUGUUGUUCUGAGCAAAUUGCUUUUGUUUUGUCUUUUUUUCAACAAGUGAAUGUAUUUUGACUUUCUUAUGUAAUUGCAUGUUUGCCUUUCUUCUCCUCCAGACCUUCCAGUGAUGGUACCCCUGAAGCUUCAUGGUUUCAUCAUCUUUAAAGUCUAGAGGAAACCUCUACCAUUACUAAGAGAGAUGGUUCUCUGGGUAGAAAAUGGAAGGGUUUUGCUUGGUUUGUACUAUAACAUAAUAUUCAGCAAGUGGCAGUUUCUCUGGUGGAUGGUGAUACUGCUCCAGCACACUUAUACAAUGGGAUAUCACUAAUGCCUCCAUUUGGUAGAUUAAAUGCUUCGAUUCUUAACUUUGUGAUUUCUUCUGUGAGGUUGCUGACUGUUUUUAGUUUAUUUUAUACCAGAAUGGAUGCUUCCAAGAAAAUCUUCCUGAAUAUAUUUUAUUUAUGGUAGCAAAUUCUAUCAAUGGUACCUCUUCAUUAUCUGGGAAAUACUUGCCCAAAAGUAAGGUGUGUGAGACAGACAGAUAAUUGCAUAGAGUUUUCCCCUACCUCAUGCAUCUUUUGAACAAAAUCAUAACCACAGAACCUAAUAUUUAUUUCUAUUUACUUGUUAAUAUACCAGAGCUCCACCUCUGGACUCUCAUUCUUUUUAAAACAACAGGAAAAUGACAUUUAAAUACAUUGCUCUGAUAAUCUAAUGAUAUGAAAAUGUUUCUAUUUUCUUUGGGUUAUUGUAAGAUGUCUGUUCGUUAUAAGGAACCUGACUCCACAAGUGCUGAAAAGGUCACAUCCCCAGGACUUCAGUGAAGUCUUGAGCUGUUCACUUUCUGCAGAGGCAGUCAGCCUUUCCAGAAGGUCUCUUCACCAGAGAAGGAAGACAGGACUUUCAGCUGCCUGUAACUAUUUGUUCAAGAUAUUGCUUGAGAUGUUCUUACCUGUUGAUAGCCAUCUGGUAGAAUAAUAUCAUGAAUAAUGAACUACAACCAACAACUUUUGUGUUUUUUGGUCAAUGCAUGAGAAGUCUCCAAAAUGGGAAGUGUUCCUUGUCUUCUGUGGAACCCAUCUUUUGUUUGGCUCAUCACCUACAGAAUUAAAUGACUGCUGCCUUUUUGUUGAAGACCGUAAGAAACAGUAUGUGCAAAACACCUGUAGAUAGUCAGAAGAUGAAUAAGAGACAAUUACUUUGUUUAAUUCAGGAAAGUCAAAAAGCAUUUGCAGUCAUUUCUCACAUGGUACAGAGCACAAUAUUCAGCAUCUUGGUAUUGUGGACAAGUGAAUUGAUAUAAGUUUGAGUGUGCUUUGAGGAAAUAUAGAAGUUAUUAUUUUAAGUAAUAAUAAUAAUAAUCUCCCUGAGGUGGAAAUCAAGAUACCAGGAAAAAACAAUCCAUAUACUUGAGUUCAGUAAGCCUCAGCAGAUGGCUUGAGGCUGUCUGGUGCCUAUCACAUGAGGCUGGAAAGGUGCUGUCAUUGGUAUGGUUGCCAGCUUCAGGCAAGCUCAGCUGUUGGUGGCUGAAGCCCUGAUCCUCAGCAAAGCCCACCACUCUACAGUUUGUCAACUGGCAGUGACCUCAAGGAUCCAUACAGCAAAGCUCAGCAAGAUGCUUCAGUCACAACAACUGGGGUUGCAGCAAAGGGUUUUCCCUUGCUGGUAGGGUCCAACCACUGCGGUAAGUGCUAUCACAAAGCUGUUCCAUUACAUUAACCUAGAACAAGUCCAGCUAAAAAAAUGGUGCAAAGCUAACAAGGGGGGGGGGGGGGGGGGAGGUAUAUUAAGAUUUCAGUGAAUGACAAAGGUUUGAUCUAUCUGAACUGCAGCUGUUGGCAUGUGUUGUUUUGGGCCUCUCACUACAAGAAAGAAAUCAAGGCCCUGGAGUGUGUCUAGAGAAGGGCAAUGAAGCUGUGAUGGGUCUGGAGCAGCUGAGGGAGCUGGGAUUGGAGCACCUGUGAUGGAGUCUUGUGGGGAGCAGCUGAGGGAGCUGGGAUUGUUCAGUCUGGAGAAGAGGAGCUCAGGGGAGACCUUAUUGUUCUCUACAGCUCCUGGAAACGAGGUUGUAGUGAGGUGAGGGUUGGCCUCUUCUCUCCGGUAACAGUGAUGAGAGGUAAUGGCCUUAAGUUGUGCCAGGGGAGGUUCAGAUUGGAUGUUAGGAAAAAUUUCUUCUCAGAAAGCAUGGUAAAGCCCUGGAACAGGCUGCCAAGGGAAGUGGUGGAGUCACUGUCUCUGGAGGUGUUCAAGAAACGUGAUGCAGUGCUGAAGGACAUGGUUUAGCGGGCAACAUUGGUGGUAAGUGGACGAUUGGACUGGAUGAUCUUAGAGGUCUUUUACGACCUUAAUGGUUCAACGAUUCUAUCCAGUAUUGCAAUACGUUUGCGCUGUUUUGACGCACCUUCACUUAAAAGGCAUCUCUUGGGCACGGUUAUUUACCAAAUGUUUGGAAGCCAUUAGGAGUCACGUGCUCACUGCUCUCGGGGCCCUGCUUCUGCCUCCGUGAAGUCGGCUCAUUGCGCAGACGGAAACCAGCCCUGUUUCUCGAGGUGUAUCUGGCAACCUGCUGAUUGCUCUCUCACCCGCGCAAGCUGUGACCCUUUCCAGCUGUUCUUAAUCUGGUCCCUUAACCUUUAAAGAAAAAACCAGCACCCCACAAACAUAACACGCCAGCUUUCCGUUCGUCAGAGCCAAACUUUGCUAACAACAUCUAGGUUGUUUUCAAACCUGGCUUCAAACAUAAAAGUGACUAAUAAAUCUGUAUCCCGUAAUAGGCUGGAAGGCCAUUAUUUAAAAACAUACUCGGCUUUUACGACCCAUUUCUAGUAAAAAUCCCAACUGCACCUCUCUGAUGCUCCCCUUCUGCUGCUUACAUCCCAGAUGAUGGGUACGAUAGCCAGAGAGACGCACCAGUAAAUAAGUGAAGGCUAUAAACCUGUCUCAGAUUAGAGAUUUGUGUACGUGCGAGGGGGAAGAGAGCGAGGAAAUUCAGUUUUCUAAUCUGCUCAUUUCCUGGCUCUUAAUGUUCUGUAACUUCCCCGUUGCCGAUUCCAUUCCUCCGUGCUCGCUGUCACUGCGUGCUGCUCCGUUCCCUGCGGUGAGACAGUGCCGCUGGGGGGCUGCGGGCUGCCCCUGCCCUACGGCAGCGCCCCGGGGCACCCGCGGGCGGGCACAGCGCGGAGCCGGAGAGCCCGGGGCGUUGGCAGGAGCGUCGCCCGCUGGCUUCGGGAUCCGGAUUCGGGCUCCCCAUUAGAAGACCGCUACAAAUAGCGAUCAAUCAUCAUUCGAGAGCAUCCAUCUUCCUGACUUUUUUACGGCCUCGUAAUUGCCCCCUCCCUGAUAGGAUUUAUGCCCGGCCCGGUACGGGGAGCUCUGCUGCCCGCCUGGCACCGCCGGCUCCUGAGGGGGAACGCGGAGCGGCCGCAGCCGUAACCCCAUCCCCCCCUCUCCCCGGCCGCCUUCUGCCCAAUCAUCGCCUCCAGCAGCCCCCCGCGCUACUCCCUCUGUCGCUCCGAUCGGGCUGGGGCUUGCCGCCGGCCUCUCAGCUGCCUCCGGUCCCGGGACGAGGAGCGGGCCUCGCUCCCAUCACCUGAAUUUCCCGUGCAAAAGUCACGGACCGUCCCGGCGCCGUUCGAAAGGGAAACGCUUUCCCUCUCUCUUCCUCUUUCCCCGCUUCCCAGGCAGGCUGCCUCCCGGUCCCUCUCGCGGCUCCCGCUCUCCCAGCAGCGCUCCCGAACCCCGGCCCCGUGCCCUUUCCUCGCCGAGGUUCGGCUGUUUGUCCCCCCCCGCGGGGCACGGCCGGGCCCCUCCGGCGGGCAGCGCCCGGGGGGAGGUGAUGGCCUAGAAACCGCGCGGCGCUCCGCGGCGGUGCUGCUGUGCCGCUCCCCUCUCUCGCUGCCCGCGGCUCUCCCUCUCCUUUCGCGGCGGUCGCGGAGCAGCGGGGAAGCCCCGUGCCCCCCAUGCGCGGCGCGGGGGCUCUCAGGCG